UACGUAGGGGGGCUAGCGUUGUCCGGAAUCAUUGGGCGUAAAGAGCGUGUAGGCGGUCCGGUAAGUCCGCUGUGAAAGUCGGGGGCUCAACCCUCGAAUGCCGGUGGAUACUGUCGGGCUAGAGUGCGGAAGAGGCGAGUGGAAUUCCUGGGUGUAGCGGUGAAAUGCGCAGAUAUCAGGAGGAACACCAUAGUGCGAAGGCAGCUCGCUGGGACGGUAACUGACGCUAGGACGAAGCGCGGGAAAGCGUACGG
rnacentral:rRNA from 1 species